AAGUUCUCUCUUGAGACACUGGAGCACGAUAAAUUGGGAGAUUAGAUUGUCAAGUCACGGGAAAUACAUUAUAUCGGUCACCUAAAUGGUGAUGACCGUACACGUGGCAAGCUAAGCUUCCGACGUCAUAAGCGACUUGCCACGCAUUGCCGUCCGAUCUUUCUUUUUUGAGAAAAAUCUUAUUAACACGCGAAGUCUUCCAAAGCCAAUCAGAUCUUCUUCCCAUUGCUUUCCCAGUUUUG